GUAUGCACUAUAUAUAUAUAUGUAUAAAAUGUAAGUUGCAUCCCUGUUGUUGGCCUCUCAGCUUUAUUUACCCAGCAGGGUAGGUGUGUGCCCUGGACACCUGCCAUCACACACACUAAUCCCAGCAUGCAAGAGGACCUGGAGAAAAGGGAUGCUAUUUUUACACCCUCUUUUAGGUAAAGCCCAUGAGCAGCUUAGCUGACCCCAUUGGACCCAACAUGGCCUCGUCUGGGGACGGAAGGAGAGGUGGCAUUGGGAGCCAUGAGUAUCCUGCCUUUCCACCCUCCCCAGCCAAAGCCCUGGUGCUAAAGGGGUUUGGGGUAGGUUUAUUUUCGGGAGUUGGAGCUGAGCAGGUGAAGGCAGCAGGAUAUUUUUUUUCUCUUAACGGGUUAGAAAUGCAUCUUCAGCUGUGUGUCCAGUUUAAGCAUUUCACAAGGUGUGUACAAGCACAGGGUUAUAUAUAUGGGCAGUAUUGUAAAAAAAUGAAUCAGCUGGUUAGUAUCUGUUGUAUAUACAUUUUUGUGUGUGAUUAUAAUGGCAUUCAUGUUGGAAUAGAUGAAUUUCGAACAAAAUAACCAUUCUGUCUACUCCUUUUCAUUUUACUGCUCUUUACCAUCAGUGUGCACCCCCUGUAGAAGGAAGAAAGAUCUGUGUGCAGGACAUGAAAUCGUGCCUUCAACAUACAUUAGGACUGCUGGAAGUCGCAGCUUUCUUUCACGAGGUGCACAAUUUCCCCAGCUCAUGCAGAGUCCCCCCCGGGUGAGACAUGCAGGCCAUGUUUCUAAAUACUUGAAGUACCAUUUGUUGUGCAAUUAUUUGGCUUCACUCUUUUAUUAGCUGAGAGGAGAGAGGGAAGAAGAAUCAUACAUCUGGAUGAGCCAAACAAAUCCCUGCUCCAGCUUCUGCAGUGUUUUCCUAGAAAGUUUUAGACUCUGUUUUUGUUCCAGUUUGCCUCCCGGCCAUGGAGUUAAUGAUUCAUCCAGAGAUACCUCACUCCCAUGCCCAAGAGAUGAACUGGUUUUCAGAAUUCCCACAUUACACCUGUUGACGGAACAGUGACUUUUGCAGGGAGCACACCUGGUAUUCGAUGCACAGAUCUUUGCUCAUUUUGAUCAUCAAAAUAGGAGAACUGGACUGUAAAUCAGAGCUCUGCCUGCAAGCAUGAGUACACUUUUGGUGUUACAAAAAUCUGUUUCCAACAAAAGCCUUGAAGUUCCUGCUGAAGCUGCCUUAAUUUAAAAAUCACAGUUUAUUUGUAGGAUUCAUCUCUGGUUGGGUUUUUUUUUUUUUUACAGUUUGGAAAAGCUGUGAAGUAGAUACUGUAGACAUGGUAAUAUUUAUUCUUGUUGCUGAAAGCAUGUUUUGUAUCAUGUUAUAUUCACGUGUUUUGUACCUCAAUGCAUUUGUUUUGGUUUUUUUCUUUUAGAGCACAAAGCAAAACUGAAUCCCAGGAUAAUUGUAGUGUGCAUGGCCCAGCUUUUGAGCAAACAAACUUCAGCUCUAUGACAGAGAUGAACCGUAUUAGUCCACUGCAAUUUUUUUAUUCAUACUCUAAGGAGUAUUUAUGAUUUAUAAUAUUAUGUAUUUAUGAAUAUUUUUGUUAAAAUAAUGAACUUUUAAAAGCUCUGAGUAUAAGCAUCCCUUCAAACAUAUCAUUAACAUGAAACUCAAAAAAAACCCCUUGAGCUCUAUAAUUACUCCAUCCUUCUUGGUAUCUUCUAUUUUGUCAACUCAGAGACUGGAGAAGGUUUUGUUUUCAGAUUCAUGGCUUUAGUACUUUCUGGGGGUAGCUGUUGUGGAAGGGCCCAGAGCCUAGAUUCAGUUUUGUCCUUUGUGCAUUAGAUAAUCACAACGAAGCCUUUUUCCUUCCAUUUAUGGUGUGGAAAGUGUUUCUCGAUGUACUGCACUGCAUGUGAUAGCUGUCUCCAUGGUUGACAUUUGCACUUUAAUAAACUCAGAGAUGAAAAGAGAUAAAAGCAGCAAA